rnacentral:lncRNA from 1 species
CUCUUCUAGUCCCCGACUUAAUGCAAGUCUUGGGUUUUUGUUCUCCUGGAAAAGGUGUUGAUUAGGCAAGAACUUGUCUAAUUUGUAUUGCUUGACUCUUGAUUCCGUUUGUUUGAGUUAUUUCCUGGGGAUGUUGUAAGUUAUUGUGCUCUACAUCUGUCUGAUGAAAGGACUGAGAGAGAAACCUGCAUUGCUUGGUAUAGUGUCAACAGUUUUGGUUAACAUAUGGAGCCUUUUCUUGUUGCGCAUUUGUUGAAGCUUUUUCAAGCUUGUAAGUGGGCUAUUAUUGUGCAGCAGAAUCAAGUUCAUUAUUUUGGAUUUUUUAUUUCGAAGUUGAACAGUGUCUCCGGCCUGAGUUCCUGGACGAUUUUCUGAUUUUCAGAAAGAUGCAGGCUUUAGGUUAGCUUCUGAAUGUUCUGAAAUUCAUGCUUGCUAUUUGGCUUCAUGUUGCAGUUUAAUUUGUUUGUCCUUGUGGCAGUUUUUGAAGCUGAUUAACUAGAAGGGAAAGGUUAAAAAGGAAGAAGAUAACUUUGGUUUCUAUCUGACACUAGCGAUUCUAUGAUCGGUC